rnacentral:lncRNA from 1 species
AAAAUCUUAAUUGUAGUGUGUGUCUUGUUAGUUUUCAAUUAUUACAUCACAGCUCCAAUUUACCUCUCAAUACUUGCUGUAGGAUAAUGCAUUUCCUUUCAACACCCCGCCUUCUCCACAAGCAGGGUGUGGUGUGAAGCUUCUAGUAGAGGCUUUUGCGGAAUGCUGCAGAGGGAAAGGCCUGUGCUGUGGACGCUAACUUCUGCAUGGGGAAGGGGAGAAGGGCGUGAGGACACGGGAUGCUGCACCCCAACAUUCACCGUGCUCCUGACCUGGGUAUUACCCCAGGCCUCCUGCCUGUGCAAGCACCCUGACUCCUCUCCUCCCUGAGCCGUGUCUUGCCCCAGGUUGUAUUCCAAGGUCUUCCGGACACUGUGGCCUUCAAAACAGGGACACUGUGCUCUCCAGUGCUUCUGAGCCACCUCUUCUCCCAGUCUCUGGGUGCCCGCGUGCUCUCCAACCAGCAACGGCUGCCCUGACCGUACCUGCACCGGAGCUCUGCCAGCGCCCGCCCCCGAGGCCCUCCAUGCCCCCACACACUCACCACCCAGCUAACCACAGCUACACCCCGAGGACUACUUUCCACUUGCCUGUGCUCUCUGCACACUAGUAAACCUUUCUGUCAUCCAGUGGGUUACGCUGACAUUUUUUCCAAAAUCUGACCCUAAGCUUAGGGGAGAGGAGUCUCUUUCCAAGUCCGUCCUCCUGUAGGAACUUUGCUCCACCUGCAGUGUACAAGGGAUGUCAAACUUUCGUAUAUUUUAUACUUACUUUUAAAGUCAUGAUUUAGUCGCCUUUGCAUCUAAGCAUCCCCUGGUUAAAUCACUGAGUAGGCUUCCUCAUGGUCAGAACCAGGCUACUGCAUGUAAUAACCUCCAGUUUGGGGUGUGGAAGUCUUGGCACUUUCUUAGCAGGGCCUGGAACUGCUGCUGUGUUUGAGUGCAAGCGUCCUACUCCCACAUCCAAAGUGUCAUCACUGGAAGAGGGGCAUGGAACGAGGAAUAAAAGGCAAGCGGGUCCUGGCCCUUGCACUGCAGUUGAGGGAAUCUGAGGGCAGCAUGCAGGCACCAGCACCGAGGGAAGCUUUGGGCCUAGGCCGCAGUGAUUUUGAACUGGAAAUGGCUACAGCACAGCCUGUGUAGACGAGACAGCUUACUGAAAAGCUGAAUGAAAAUUGUGAACAAGCCGAUCUGUUUGUGAUCUUUCAACAUGGCUGCACAGCAACUCUGCAAAUGCUAGAAGAAAAAAACAAAAAGUAAAAGAACUGUAUGUUUGUCAUCAAUUUAAUGUAAAAAUUUAAAACAUAUUUCAGAAUCUUCCCAAGAAGUGCUAAUGUCACCAUGUCAAAUUGUAGUUAUUUAACCUAAAGGAUUUUUUAUUAUUAUAAAAAAUUAGACAUCCAGAUGAAGGUAGAAUGAAUAUUAUAAAUUUAACAGAUCAUAUUGCAUGAAUGAAAUGCACUCUAAUUUGUGAAGUGCUGUUAUACCUAUUAUAUCACUCAAUCCUGGUAGUAAUCCUAAUGAAAUAUGAGUUCAAACAGGUGUUGAUAUCUCAUAAAUGCUGCAGUAAUGAAGACAGAGGCUCAGAUGGGUUAAAUUAUUACGGAGUCACCCGAGCCCCUGGACCUAUGUAAUAACCCAGUGCCGUUUCCCUUCAGUAUUUACAAGAACUCCUACCUUUCCAAAUGCACAUCAUUUAGCUCUAGUACAGGCACCACGAGCAGAGGGUAUAAUUUCCAUUUCUGUCUUCUGCAGUCAAGCAGAAGUUCCUCUCCUUUGUGUACCGAUAGGAGUGCCGUGGAUCACUGGGCCUUGGAGAAGGGAGGCCUUAAGUGUGCUCCAUUUGCACGAUUGUCCUGCAGCACUUGUGGAUGACUGCACAGCCUUCUAAAGUAUGGGAAGCUAAGACCUCUGGCCAGGGAACUGUCUGAAAAUCUCCUUCAAAAACAAUGCUUGAGGGCCGGGGAUUUAGCUCAGUGGCACAGAGCCUGCCUCACAAGUGCAAGGUCCUAAGUUUGAUCUACAGUAAAAAAAAAAAAAAAAAAAAAAGUGCCUGAUCUGGAAGACACAGUCCUCCUGGGUAGGGAUUUGGCAUUGGAUGGUUGUUGGGCAAGACAGUCAGGACCAUGGUCAGCGUAUUGGACCCCAAAGAGAUAGGGCUAGUGUUCAAGGUGAGAAAGUCUUCACGCUUGAAAGAAAGACAGCCAUUUUCACAUUUGGGAUAAUAAAAGAAAUAAGUAGAAUUUUAAAGGUUAUGUAAGUGAAAAAGUUAACGUAUUAAAAUAGUAUAAGGAAUAAAGAACUAAAAAAAUUAAAACCAAAAAUAGCUGAAAUACAAAUGAUAUAAAGAAUAUUCAUAUUCACAUAAACCAAAUGUUGUUAUUGAUUUGGAUAUUUUCUUUUUUGGUACUGGGGAUCGAGCUCGAGUCCUUGCACUUGCGCAGCAGGCGGUGAAACCACUGAGCUAAAUCCCCAGCCUCGAUAUUUUCAUUUUUUGAAAAGCUAAUUUCUGUUGUUUCACAUUAGCAAAUAAAAGCUGCCAGGUAAUCGACCUCCUCAAUAUUAAGGUUGGUAUCUGUAAUUGCAACAAUAAUAACAAUAAAUUCUACAAAUCUUUAUAAUGGUAUUAUUCUUUGAUAAACCCAUUGUAAAUUGAAAAUAUUAUAUGUAAAUUAUCAUUUAAAAUAGCUUACCAGGGCUGGAGACAAUUCAUUGGUCCCCUGCCAUGCAGAAGGCCCUGAGUUCCCAGCCAAGUACAGCCAAAAAAAGGGAAAAUCAGGUCUGAGCAGGUGACACAGCUCAGCACAGCAAAAGAGGCUGGGAAGCCUGAGUCGCUUGUCAUACUGUGCUUGUGUUAGCCCAAGGAACAUUCAAAAUUCAAAAUCUGAGCCAGAUGCGGUGGAGCACGUCUGUAAUCUCAUCGCUCGAGAAGCUAAGGCGGGAGGAUUGCAGUGAGUUUCAGUCCAGCCUGUGCUACAUGAUGAGUUCAAGGCCAGCCCAAGCGACAUAGCAUGAUCCUGUUUCAGACAAAAUUCAAAAUUGGAAGUAAAGUUGCUACGAAAUAUGGAACGCCUUUACACCAUUGUAAGCUGAAGCAUGUAAGUCAGCCAUUGCCUGUAAUGGCAUUAAUCGUGGCUCUGUACCUAACAUUUUUCUAAGAAUUCUACAUGUACCAAGUACAACUUAUACAAUAUAUUUAUUCAAAUAUUAUUCCAGUUGUACAUAUAAAAAAGUACAGGAAGUUUAUGUAGCUUGCUUGAAAAAGAUGUAGAAAAGUACAAAGCAGCGGAGUUGAGGACAUUCAGCUCCACGGCAUUCUCUCUUUCCACUUUCCAGGCCACUGCUGCCAAUAAAAUAAUAGUGGUUCUGCUGGCUCAUUCACUAGAGUUUUGUUUGUUUAUAUUAAAAAAAAUGUUGGCAGCCCAAGAAUUCAUGAGAAUUGCAAACCAGAGCAGAAUUGAGAUUACUGGAAUAAACCAAAUUACUUUGGAUUGAGACAAAACCCAUUCUGUUUUAUAAGAUAAUAGGAAGAAAGCAAAGUUUGCAUCUUUAUAGUGUCAUUAUUUUCACUCCCUGUGGAAAACAAAAUUCCAUUUAAUAAUACUCAAUGACUUUGUGCGAGAAUGAUGAUCACCAUGACACUUGCAGUUGUAAAAUAAAACCUGC